rnacentral:rRNA from 1 species
GCAUAUCAAUAAGCGGAGGAAAAGAAAAUAACAAUGAUUCCCUUAGUAACGGCGAGUGAAGGGGGAAAAGCUCAAAUUUUAAAUCUGCUAGGUUUUACUUAUCAGAAUUGUAAUUUGAAGAAGCGUUUUCCGCGUCUUGGUUGACCCAAAUCCUUUGGGAUAAGGUAUCAUGGAGGGUGAGAAUCCCGUUCGGUUGACCUUAUGACGCUCUACGAUACGCUCUCUAAGAGUCGAGUUGUUUGGGAUUGCAGCUCAAAAUGGGAGGUAAAUUUCUCCUAAGGCUAAAUAUCGGCGAGAGACCGAUAGCGAACAAGUACCGUGAGGGAAAGAUGAAAAGAACUUUGAAAAGAGAGUAAAAUAGUACGUGAAAUUGUUGAAAGGGAAACGAUUGAAGUCAGUCGUACCGACGAGAAAUCAACUUAUCGUGUGCGAACU